CUCUGCGAAGAAAGACCAAGAGAAAACAAGCAGGACACUUUUUUUUUUACAGCUUGUUUGUGUGUCUGAUCUGACCACAAUGAAAUCCUGGCAGCUGACUGGAGUGGUGGGAGAUGUCCUUCAGAGUUCCAGCAGUGACAGUAGCAGCUGUUUAAAUAAGGACAGUGUCUCGAUUCCAGGCCAACCCAUGAGCUGUGAGAGGACGCAACUGAGGGUCAGUUCCACUCGCUGUGUGUACGUACUUGUGUGUGUGAGUGUGUGUUUUGUGUGUGUUUGUGUGUGUGUGUCUAGCUUGUCUGUCCGAAAGGUACCCUUUUCCUACAUCGGUUCUAAAGGUCUGUUCAGUAGGU